rnacentral:lncRNA from 1 species
GAGAAUGAAGUACUUGAAAAUAUCACAUUGCUGUUUGAAAAAAUAAUGGUUUUAUUAUUGAAAAGGACGGCACUAAAUGAAACCGACUGGUUGGUAAACUGGGUCAUGUAAACCUACUCUUCUUGGAGAGCAACAGAGGAGAGAGCAAGUUGUUGAUCUUUAGAUCUCUGCUGUUUUGAAAGUGAUAAGGCUGUUAAACAUCACACAGAGAGUUCUUCCAUAUUACACCUGUACCAUACUAUCGUCACAACCAAAGUCCAUACAGGAGCCCGAGGCUGACAAUAAAGCUGGGUUUGUAUGGAGAAACAGUGAUGGGAGCAAGAAGAUGGCAAAGAUGUUCCAUCUAUUGUUUUCUGGACUGAUAAAGGUGGAUGAAGAUCUUCCUAACUUUCAUCAGGCUUUGGGAGAGGUUGAAUUCAAAGGGUUGCAGGCCUUCAGUUGUCCACUGCGUUCUCCAGACAUCAGUCUGAUGCAUACUUCAACAACAAAUGACCAAUACACUUCACUAUUUGCAGUACCCCAGCCUGAUCCGAGUAAGCUGGAAUAUGUACAAAUUUGCAGAGAGACUGAGUCCUAUCAACAGAAGAGUUGCUUUACUGUGCCAAAGUCAGAUGGCACCACCUCCUCUGGGCUCUCUGGUGUAACUCAGUACCAGAGCUAGGCUGGCUGAUGGUGGCACUAGGAUCCAGCCUGUAGUGCAUACACAUGCUUUGAUUUUUCAGUGGAAUGUGCAUUUGUCAGGAAGCGUUCCAAGUACACCCAACAACUGUUUCCAACUCUCAACCUCUUUUUCAAGCAACAUUUUUGUUCUCAUGUUUUACUGCAUGUAUUAGCAGAUUAUUACUGUUUUAAAAAAAAAAUUUGUGGAUAGGCAAAACUCUCUCAUUUACUGUUUUUGAUUAUGAAAUAAAACUGCCUUUGAACCUCA